GUUGUAAUUCUAGAAGAGGNUGUUUUUUCCGUGCCGGACCGUGUACAAGUCCCUUGGAACAGGGCGUCAUAGAGGGUGAGAAUCCCGUCCAUGACACGGACUACCGGUGCUCUGUGAUACACCUUUCGAAGAGUCGAGUUGUUUUGGGAAUGCAGCUCAAAAUGGGGUGGUAAAUUCCAUCUAAAGCUAAAUACAGGCGAGAGACCGAUAGCGAACAAGUACCGUGAGGGAAAGAUGAAAAGAACUUUGGAAAGAGAGUUAAACAGUACGUGAAAUUGUUGAAAGGGAAACGCUUGAAGUCAGUCGCGUCUGUCAGGACUCAGCCUUGCUUCUGCAUGGUGCAUUUCCUGGUGGAUGGGCCAGCAUCGAUUUUGGUCGCCGGAAAAGGGCGGGAGGAAUGUGGCAGCUUGCUGUGUUAUAGCCUCCUGUCGUACACGGUGGUUGGGAUCGAGGACUGCAGCACGCCUUUGGUCGGGGUUCGCCCACGCCACGUGCUUAGGAUGCUGGCGUAAUGGCUUUAAGCGACCCGUCUUGAAACACGGACCAAGGAGUCUAACAUGCCUGCGAGUGUUUGGGCGUUAAACCCAGGCGCGUAAUGAAAGUGAAAAGUUGGGACUCUUUAGUGAGGCACCGACGCCCGAUCCUGACGUUCUCUGACGGAUUUGAGGUAGAGCAUGUAUGUUGGGACCCGAAAGAUGGUGAACUAUGCCUGAAUAGGGUGAAGCCAG
rnacentral:rRNA from 1 species